UACGGAGGGGGCAAGCGUUGUCCGGAUUUAUUGGGCGUAAAGAGCGUGUAGGCGGCCAGAUAGGUCCGUUGUGAAAACUCGAGGCUCAACCUCGAGAUGUCGAUGGAAACCGUCUGGCUAGAGUCCGGAAGAGGAGUGUGGAAUUCCUGGUGUAGCGGUGAAAUGCGCAGAUAUCAGGAAGAACACCUAUGGCGAAGGCAGCACUCUGGGACGGUACUGACGCUGAGACGCGAAAGCGUGGGGAGCGAACAGG
rnacentral:rRNA from 1 species